rnacentral:rRNA from 1 species
UACGGGGGUUGCAAGCGUUAUCCGGAUUUAUUGGGUUUAAAGGGUGCGUAGGCUGUGAGGUAAGCCAGCGGUGAAAUGCCCCCGCUCAACGGGGUGAAGUGCCAUUGAUACUGCCUUGCUGGAAUGCGGAUGCCGUGGGAGGAAUGUGUGGUGUAGCGGUGAAAUGCAUAGAUAUCACACAGAACACCGAUUGCGAAGGCAUCUCACGAAUCCGCGAUUGACGCUGAUGCACGAAAGCGUGGGUAUCAAACAGG